rnacentral:rRNA from 1 species
ACUGGUGAGUAACACGUAUGCGACCUGCCCCGGACAGGGGGAUAAACCCGGGAAACUGGGCCUAAUACCCCAUAAGUAUCGAGGAUGCAUGUCCUUGAUAUGAAAGAUCCGUCGGUCCGGGAUGGGCAUGCGGCGCAUUAGCUAGUUGGCGGGGCAACGGCCCACCAAGGCGACGAUGCGUAGGGGUUCUGAGAGGAAGGUCCCCCACACUGGUACUGAGACACGGACCAGACUCCUACGGGAGGCAGCAGUGAGGAAUAUUGGUCAAUGGACGGUAGUCUGAACCAGCCAAGUCGCGUGCGGGAAGAAGGCCCUCCGGGUCGUAAACCGCUUUAGCCGGGGAGUAACGUGGGGGACGCGUCCCUCAGUGAGAGUACCCGGAGAAUAAGCAUCGGCUAACUCCGUGCCAGCAGCCGCGGUAAUACGGAGGAUGCGAGCGUUAUCCGGAUUUAUUGGGUUUAAAGGGUGCGCAGGCGGCGAGUCAAGUCAGCGGUCAAACUGCGGCGCUCAACGCCGUACCGCCGUUGAAACUGGCGCGCUCGAGUUUGUGCGAGGAUGGCGGAAUGCGCAGUGUAGCGGUGAAAUGCAUAGAUAUUGCGCAGAACUCCGAUUGCGAAGGCAGCUGUCCAGCACACUACUGACGCUCAUGCACGAAAGCGUGGGUAUCGAACAGGAUUAGAUACCCUGGUAGUCCACGCGGUAAACGAUGAUAACUAGUUAUCCGGCCAGAUUGAUGGUUGGGUGACCGAGCGAAAGCGUUAAGUUAUCCACCUGGGGAGUACGCCGGCACGGUGAAACUCAAAUGAAUUGACGG